rnacentral:rRNA from 1 species
UACGGGGGGAGCAAGCGUUGUUCGGAUUUACUGGGCGUAAAGGGCGCGUAGGCGGCGCAACAAGUCACUUGUGAAAUCUCCGGGCUUAACCCGGAGCGGUCAAGUGAUACUGUCGUGCUAGAGUGCGGAAGGGGCUACUGGAAUUCUCGGUGUAGCGGUGAAAUGCGUAGAUAUCGGAGAGGAACACCUGGCGGCGAAGGCGGGUAGCUGGGCCGACACUGACGCUGAUGCGCGAAAGCCAGGGGAGCGAACGGG